rnacentral:rRNA from 1 species
UACUAUAGCUUGACACUGAACAUUGAGCCUUGAUGUGUAGGAUAGGUGGGAGGCUUUGAAGUGUGGACGCCAGUCUGCAUGGAGCCGACCUUGAAAUACCACCCUUUAAUGUUUGAUGUUCUAACGUUGACCCGUAAUCCGGGUUGCGGACAGUGUCUGGUGGGUAGUUUGACUGGGGCGGUCUCCUCCUAAAGAGUAACGGAGGAGCACGAAGGUUGGCUAAUCCUGGUCGGACAUCAGGAGGUUAGUGCAAUGGCAUAAGCCAGCUUGACUGCGAGCGUGACGGCGCGAGCAGGUGCGAAAGCAGGUCAUAGUGAUCCGGUGGUUCUGAAUGGAAGGGCCAUCGCUCAACGGAUAAAAGGUACUCCGGGGAUAACAGGCUGAUACCGCCCAAGAGUUCAUAUCGACGGCGGUGUUUGGCACCUCGAUGUCGGCUCAUCACAUCCUGGGGCUGAAGUAGGUCCCAAGGGUAUGGCUGUUCGCCAUUUAAAGUGGUACGCGAGCUGGGUUUAGAACGUCGUGAGACAGUUCGGUCCCUAUCUGCCGUGGGCGCUGGAGAACUGAGGGGGGCUGCUCCUAGUACGAGAGGACCGGAGUGGACGCAUCACUGGUGUUCGGGUUGUCAUGCCAAUGGCACUGCCCGGUAGCUAAAUGCGGAAGAGAUAAGUGCUGAAAGCAUCUAAGCACGAAACUUGCC